ensembl:miRNA eca-mir-8995 eca-mir-8995
AGUUAAAGCAGCCACGAUGAAGAAGUCUAAGCUUUGUGGUGGUGACGUAUUCCUGUUGACAUGCUGUCUCUCAUUGUAUGUGUGUGUCAUCAGGGCUACGGUCCGUCACAGAGCGAUAGAUGGACUGUCUGAGCUCACCCC